CAACAUGGGUUAAGCCAGUCAUAUGAUUUCCCUGUGGGCAAAACUGCUUACUUAAAUAAAAAAAUAUAUAAUAAUUUAAAAUAGGGGUAACAGUGGAUUAGCAUUCAUACAUUUACAAGGUAGUAAUACAUUAAAAUUUUGUUCUCCAUAUGAAAAACAACCAAGUCCAGCUAACUAGCUAGCUACCUUGCUAAACCCAGUAUCAGCUGGAGCUAAAUUAGCUGUCAACGAAAUAGCAAGGAAAGCUAGGAAGAGCACAAAAAACACCUGCUGAUAUUCUCAACAUUUACAGACAUUCUUACCAUAAUUCAGUUCUCUUCUAGCAAUUGACGGUGGAAUAAAAGACAUAACAUUUCUAUCAUGGCUGAUGACUUGAAGAGAUACUUGUACAAGCUGUUACCAAGUAUUGAGGGUCUUCAUGCAAUCAUAGUGACAGAUAGGGAUGGUGUCCCAGUUAUUAAAGAUUGUGCAGUUUAACCGGUUACCAUUGGUGAUAAGUUUCAUCGCAAGCAGUAGUGCCAACACAGGUUUGAUUAUCCGUCUGGAGAAGGAGCUUGUACCACUAAUCGAAGAGCUACGGCAGGUAGUGGAGGUUGCUUAGGAGUGUAUCACCUUGACAGCAAUGGGACUAUUCUGUGACAGAGUCAGUCAUGAAAAAGGAUCUAUCUGAAACUACAUAUUUUUAAUAUCUAUAUCAUGCACAUACAUACAUACAGAGAGCUCUGUUGCUGAAAGACAUAGAUACAGGACAUGUUGUUAGUGUCAUGAUGCUGUGUUUGUUGCCUUAAUUUUCUAAUACUUGAAUGUAACCCCUUCCUUUCUCGUGUUUGUAAUUAAUAAACUGACUCUGUUGCUAAUUUCUCUAUUAAAAUAAAUAUUUAUUCACAGUA